rnacentral:rRNA from 1 species
CAGUCGCCGCGGGAACACGUAGGGUGCAAGCGUUAAUCGGAAUUACUGGGCGUAAAGCGUGCGCAGGCGGUUAUAUAAGACAGAUGUGAAAUCCCCGGGCUCAACCUGGGAACUGCAUUUGUGACUGUAUAGCUAGAGUACGGCAGAGGGGGAUGGAAUUCCGCGUGUAGCAGUGAAAUGCGUAGAUAUGCGGAGGAACACCGAUGGCGAAGGCAAUCCCCUGGGCCUGUACUGACGCUCAUGCACGAAAGCGUGGGGAGCAAACAGGAUUAGAGACCCCCGUAGUCCCUGUCUCUUAUAA